CACACUAUCAUUAACUGAAUCCAUAGGUUAAUGAGGCGAACCGGGGGAACUGAAACAUCUAAGUACCCCGAGGAAAAGAAAUCAACCGAGAUUCCCCCAGUAGCGGCGAGCGAACGGGGAGCAGCCCAGAGCCUGAAUCAGUGUGUGUGUUAGUGGAAGCGUCUGGAAAGGCGCGCGAUACAGGGUGACAGCCCCGUACACAAAAAUGCACAUGCUGUGAGCUCGAUGAGUAGGGCGGGACACGUGGUAUCCUGUCUGAAUAUGGGGGGACCAUCCUCCAAGGCUAAAUACUCCUGACUGACCGAUAGUGAACCAGUACCGUGAGGGAAAGGCGAAAAGAACCCCGGCGAGGGGAGUGAAAAAGAACCUGAAACCGUGUACGUACAAGCAGUGGGAGCACGCUUAGGCGUGUGACUGCGUACCUUUUGUAUAAUGGGUCAGCGACUUAUAUUCUGUAGCAAGGUUAACCGAAUAGGGGAGCCGAAGGGAAACCGAGUCUUAACUGGGCGUUAAGUUGCAGGGUAUAGACCCGAAACCCGGUGAUCUAGCCAUGGGCAGGUUGAAGGUUGGGUAACACUAACUGGAGGACCGAACCGACUAAUGUUGAAAAAUUAGCGGAUGACUUGUGGCUGGGGGUGAAAGGCCAAUCAAACCGGGAGAUAGCUGGUUCUCCCCGAAAGCUAUUUAGGUAGCGCCUCGUGAAUUCAUCUCCGGGGGUAGAGCACUGUUUCGGCAAGGGGGUCAUCCCGACUUACCAACCCGAUGCAAACUGCGAAUACCGGAGAAUGUUAUCACGGGAGACACACGGCGGGUGCUAACGUCCGUCGUGAAGAGGGAAACAACCCAGACCGCCAGCUAAGGUCCCAAAGUCAUGGUUAAGUGGGAAACGAUGUGGGAAGGCCCAGACAGCCAGGAUGUUGGCUUAGAAGCAGCCAUCAUUUAAAGAAAGCGUAAUAGCUCACUGGUCGAGUCGGCCUGCGCGGAAGAUGUAACGGGGCUAAACCAUGCACCGAAGCUGCGGCAGCGACGCUUAUGCGUUGUUGGGUAGGGGAGCGUUCUGUAAGCCUG
rnacentral:rRNA from 1 species